CAUGGAAAAUCAAAAAUGACCUUCUUAAAGUACCAAGUAAAUUAAAUCGCCUUUCAAAAAAGUGCUACACUGGAUACAUAGGAGCAAGAUAUCUGAUUAUUGUUAUUCAGAUAAAAAAAAAUUUAUGUUACACCAAUACGUUCCAAAUCUAGAAAAAACAGAAUUAAGUAAUAAUAUUAGAAGCAAAAAACAUACAUAACUAACAUAAUCAGAU